UGGGGAAUCUUGCGCAAUGGGCGAAAGCCUGACGCAGCAACGCCGCGUGAGUGAUGAAGGCCCUCGGGUCGUAAAGCUCUGUCAGAUGGAAAGAAUAAAUCUGUCAAUAAUAUUGGCAGAUGAUGACGGUACCAUCAGAGGAAGCACCGGCUAACUCCGUGCCAGCAGCCGCGGUAAUACGGAGGGUGCAAGCGUUGUUCGGAAUUACUGGGCGUAAAGGGCGUGUAGGCGGACUAAUAGGUCAGAUGUGAAAUCCCUUGUCUCAACCAAGGAACUGCAUCUGAAACCAUUGAUCUUGAGUACGAUAGGGGAGGGCGGAAUUCCCAGUGUAGAGGUGAAAUUCAUAGAGAUUGGGAGGAACACCGGUGGCGAAGGCGACCCUCUGGAUCGAUACUGACGC
rnacentral:rRNA from 1 species